rnacentral:rRNA from 1 species
UGGGGAAUAUUGCACAAUGGGCGCAAGCCUGAUGCAGCCAUGCCGCGUGUGUGAAGAAGGCCUUCGGGUUGUAAAGCACUUUCAGCGAGGAGGAAGGUGGUGAACUUAAUACGUUCAUCAAUUGACGUUACUCGCAGAAGAAGCACCGGCUAACUCCGUGCCAGCAGCCGCGGUAAUACGGAGGGUGCAAGCGUUAAUCGGAAUUACUGGGCGUAAAGCGCACGCAGGCGGUUUGUUAAGUCAGAUGUGAAAUCCCCGGGCUCAACCUGGGAACUGCAUUUGAAACUGGCAAGCUAGAGUCUCGUAGAGGGGGGUAGAAUUCCAGGUGUAGCGGUGAAAUGCGUAGAGAUCUGGAGGAAUACCGGUGGCGAAGGCGGCCCCCUGGACGAAGACUGACGCUCAGGUGCGAAAGGCGUGGGGGAGCAAACAGGAUUAGAUACCCUGGUAGUCCACGCUGUAAAACGAUGUCGAUUUUGGAGGUUGUGCCCCUUGAGGCGUGGNUUCCGGAGCUAACGCGUUAAAUCGACCGCCNGGGGAGUACGGCCNCAAGGUUAAAACUUAAAGGAAUUGC